rnacentral:rRNA from 1 species
UACAGAGGUCUCAAGCGUUGUUCGGAUUCAUUGGGCGUAAAGGGUGUGUAGGUGGCGCCGUAAGUCGGGUGUGAAAUUUCGGAGCUUAACUCCGAAACUGCAUUCGAUACUGCGGUGCUUGAGGACUGGAGAGGAGACUGGAAUUCAUGGUGUAGCAGUGAAAUGCGUAGAGAUCGGAAAGAACACCAACGGCGAAAGCACUCUGCUGGGCCGACACUGACACUGAGAGACGAAAGCUAGGGGAGCGAAUGGG